rnacentral:rRNA from 1 species
AUACGUAGGGGGCGAGCGUUGUCCGGAAUGAUUGGGCGUAAAGGGCGCGUAGGCGGCGCGGUAAGUCUGGAGUGAAAGUCCUGCUUUCAAGGUGGGAAUAGCUUUGGAUACUGGAUGACUUGAGUGCGGCAGAGGUAAGUGGAAUUCCAAGUGUAGCGGUGCAAUGCGUAGAGAUUGGGAGGAACACCAGUGGCGAAGGCGACUUACUGGGCCGUAACUGACGCUGAGGCGCGAAAGCGUGGGGAGCGAACAGGAUUAGAUACCCUGGUAGUCCACGCGGUAAACGAUGAAUGCUAGGUGUUGCGGGUAUCGACCCCUGCAGUGCCGGAGUAAACACAAUAAGCAUUCCGCCUGGGGAGUACGGCCGCAAGGUUGAAACUCAAAUGAAUUGACGGGG